GUGGCGUCACCAAAAAGAGAAAAAAGCCGAAUAAAUGCCCCACCCCUACCCUCACCCUUCCUCUCCUGCAGCUCAUCGUACCUCUGCAACAGGCUCAGACUGUGGUAGAAUAACAGGACAUGGGUUUAAUCAUCAUAAAACAGGGUCUGCUGCAAUUAUUGGUCUCAUUAUGGUGGAUUUCAGGUUUUUCUGAAGCGAGUGAUGUCACCCAGAGCCCGUUUGUGUGGAAGCAGGAAGGUGAAGACGCAACGAUGGACUGCAGCCACACUAAAGGCGAUCUAUACUUCCAGAUGUACUGGUACUGGCAGCUGCCAGGAGAAACCAUGAGACUUAUCGUCUUCACAAGCACGGGCAUAAGUCAGCACGACUUUGGAGAUUUCAGUAAAGAGAAAUUCUCAGCCACCAAGACGGUCGCUCAGAGUGGGACGUUCACUGUGAAGAAUCUGGAGCUGAAAGAUGAAGGCUUGUAUUUCUGUGCAGUCAGUAAGCACGGUGAUGCAGGCUGAGGAAAAUGCUUCACAAAAACCUGGAUGUGAGAUAAUCACAUCAAAGCUUCUGCAGGGACCUCAUGCAGCUCACACACGUUCUCUACACCUCGUCCUUCACACCCACAGCUGCAGGAUGCUGAUAUUUUGGUUUAUUAGAACAUUUGUCUAAUCCUUCACACCUGAUGGGGAUGAACUUCAGAUAAACACAGAGCCCCUUACAGUCAUUUAGUCAACAUUAAUCCAACAAAAACGUAGAUGUGUGAAACACAAACUCCAAAUCUACUUUUAUGCCUUUACAGCUAAAACAUGAAAAUAAAAACUUGAAUUAGUUUCAAGGAUUGCCUGGAGGAAACAACUUCUUUCUAAAAGAUUAAAGCAGUUUUUUUAAUUUGCCAAACUACAUCAAAACAACUCAGAUCAAGUCAUUUUCAGUCCAUUGAGAUCAAAGUCAACAUAUUUACCUGUUUUAUGGGCAAAACAGGAAUGCAUUUGAUCUGUUACCUACCAACUGCCAAGCACAGAGGUGGAGGGUGAUGAUUUGGGCUUGUUUGCAUUAAAAAGUGAAAGGCUCAUGAAAUGGCUAACUAUGGAAGAAUAGUCAAAAAAGGAGCUGCUGACGUGACUUUGUUUGAGACUGAUUUUGUACAAAGACCUUCACGAACAUGCUUUGUAGACCAUAGAAUGAUUAUAACUUGUGUACUGAAUACUUUCUACUUACUCUUACUACUAACAACAAAUUAAUUAAAGCUAUAAUGAGGUUUUUCUUUGACAGUUUUAUCAAAUAUAUAGAGAAUGGAGUCAGCUCAAAAAUACUAACACACACUAAUUACUUACCACCAACAGGGGGAGACAAAUCACAGCUAAAAACAAAGAUCUCCACAUCCCAGAAACACAUUUUUACAAAAAACUGUUGCAUGUUUUGUAAAGAUAACCUGGAGGAUCUGACGCCUUCCUAGACACACUUUCUCUGUGCUGAACUCCUGGACACAGAGAGUAGACCCAUCUUAAACAUGGAGCUGAGUUUCCUUUAAUUCUUGUUUCUUCUUCAUCUGCAGGUUCAUGAUGGCGACUGUUCC